rnacentral:misc_RNA from 1 species
GGAAUAGAAUAUUGGUGGAAUUAUAUGAGGGCUGAUGCUGAGGGUUUACAUGAGAUACGCCGGUUAUCUGAGGCUGGGAAGCUUCAACUCCCAGUAGAUAAAACUUUCCCAAUUUCACAGGUGAGAGAGGCUCACGAGGCCAAGGAUAGACGACAAAUUCCUGGCAAAGUGGUGCUAGAAAUUGACUGAUUUAACUGGACGAUCUUAACCAACAGUGCGUGGAUUCAGUGCACAAGUCUAUAAUAUCUCAUGCAAUCUGGUAUUACACUGAAUCCUUGAUGCCUAUUGCCUCGUAUACGAUAUCAUCUCUUUGCAGAAUAACCAGACCCAACUUACACUCUGUUGGCAUCUAUAGGAAGAAAACUGUGCAACCUGUAAAUUCUCAGGACAUUCUCAAUCUUUUUUCUUUUCUUCCAAGUAUCCGUCAUUGUUUCUAUGUUGCGUUAAACAUUUAAGUGAGCCAUUUAUCGUGCUCGUGACAGGAAAAUGCAUUGCGAAUGGUCGUACUAUGUCACAGGGGAGAUGUCUGUUAUUUUUUAGAAAAAAAAGAAAUAGAUAAUUA